rnacentral:rRNA from 2 species
CUACCAGAGAAUUCGGGAUCCCGUCCGCUCUCCCAUAGACAAGCUGGUAAGGGGCAGAUUAGUAGUUGGGUCGGUGACGACCA